AACCCCUCGGAAUUAAUUUCAUUCAAGGACGGCAAUCGCCAAAUAUUUGCAACGUUGCUUUGUUUCUCUAGGUCUUUGGUAUUUUGCCUCGCGGGCAGAAACUUCAUGAUGUGAAUUUUUUUGUUGUUGUUUUUUACGGAAGUACAAACUAGCCGGUCACUUGUUUUCUAAAAUCUGAUUCGACAAUCACAACUUGUUCGACCAAUCAGAAGCGUUGAUUCAUACCAAGGUGCGUAAUGCACACAAUCGCUCAUAAUGCACAAAAAAAACGGACAAAACAUCACCUGUUUAUAAAAUCAAAUGGGCAAUAGAGUUCUUUCAGUUCUCACUCGAGAUAAGAGGCAACCUAUACCCUCAGAAAUCUAAACGGAUUUACGUGAUUCACAAAAAUGAUCCUGGAGGCUGGCUAAAAUACGGAACUUACGGACUUUUCCGGAUGUUAUUCUAAUAAUAAAUAUACAGCUAGCAAACGGGUUGUAGCACUUACCGUGGUGUCAGAACAAAACAUAUUGUUAUAUAUAAUGACAUUUUACCUUCUUCAGCUUCUGAAAACCUCGAAAUCCACCAAAAUCGCAUGUUUACAGUUUCUUCAAGUGUUAUCUUUCUAUACUUCCGGUUUAGAAAAUCACGUUACCUUCAGCGCCACCUAACCCAAAGUUUAUAUUUAGCAACCAAUAGAUUACACGAAUACAUGUGCGGUUAGUUUUAAACGAGGGAAAAAUCAAAAUGGCUGAAAAAUGAAAGUGCUUGUUUAUUGGACUUUGGCGAACAACUGGUCGUUUGUCAGCACUGCCGCUGAUCGGGGAGGGUCAAUGCCUGGGACAAGAACAUUUUGCAAGUUCCAGGAGAAAUGGUAUCCUGCUAUACCCAUCGCAUGUUUGCAACAUUUGAUCAUCUGGAGGAUUCCUGGAGAGGUAUGUUCUUCACCAUCGAAGAAAUUCAAAACCAUAGUGCAACUGGUAAAAAGGCCAACAAAGACCAAGUUUGAUCCUGCCAAAUUUAACUUAAUCAGCAAGCUCGUUCAGAAACAUUUUGAUAUCAGGAAGUGGUCAUUAAGACACAAAAUGUGAAGCAGUUAGUAUUCCAAGUGACAAUUUAAAUCAAGUAUUGACAUAAUGAAAAUUACUUUUGUGCUGAAAAAAAAGAAAGAAAAGAAAUAAAAAAGAAUUGUGUCCAGGGUUCUGA